rnacentral:sRNA from 1 species
UGGGCUGGCCGCAAGGCCCGGGUCCACCUGCAAGCGGGGAAAUUCCCC